GGGUUGUGAGGUUAAGCGACUAAGCGUACACGGUGGAUGCCCUGGCAGUCAGAGGCGAUGAAGGACGUGCUAAUCUGCGAAAAGCGUCGGUAAGGUGAUAUGAACCGUUACAGCCGGCGAUGUCCGAAUGGGGAAACCCAGUGCAAUUCGUUGCACUAUCGUUAACUGAAUACAUAGGUUAACGAGGCGAACCGGGGGAACUGAAACAUCUAAGUACCCCGAGGAAAAGAAAUCAACCGAGAUUCCCCCAGUAGCGGCGAGCGAACGGGGAGCAGCCCAGAGUCUGAAUCAGCUUGUGUGUUAGUGGAACGGUCUGGAAAGUCCGACGGUACAGGGUGAUAGUCCCGUACACCAAAAUGCACAGGCUGUGAACUCGAAGAGUAGGGCGGGACACGUGGUAUCCUGUCUGAAUAUGGGGGGACCAUCCUCCAAGGCUAAAUACUCCUGACUGACCGAUAGUGAACCAGUACCGUGAGGGAAAGGCGAAAAGAACCCCGGCGAGGGGAGUGAAAAAGAACCUGAAACCGUGUACGUACAAGCAGUGGGAGCACCUUCGGGUGUGACUGCGUACCUUUUGUAUAAUGGGUCAGCGACUUAUAUUCUGUAGCAAGGUUAACCGUAUAGGGGAGCCGCAGGGAAACCGAGUCUUAACUGGGCGUUAAGUUGCAGGGUAUAGACCCGAAACCCGGUGAUCUAGCCAUGGGCAGGUUGAAGGUUGGGUAACACUAACUGGAGGACCGAACCGACUAAUGUUGAAAAAUUAGCGGAUGACUUGUGGCUGGGGGUGAAAGGCCAAUCAAACCGGGAGAUAGCUGGUUCUCCCCGAAAGCUAUUUAGGUAGCGCCUCGUGAAUUCAUCUUCGGGGGUAGAGCACUGUUUCGGCUAGGGGGUCAUCCCGACUUACCAACCCGAUGCAAACUACGAAUACCGAAGAAUGUUAUCACGGGAGACACACGGCGGGUGCUAACGUCCGUCGUGAAGAGGGAAACAACCCAGACCGCCAGCUAAGGUCCCAAAGUCAUGGUUAAGUGGGAAACGAUGUGGGAAGGCACAGACAGCCAGGAUGUUGGCUUAGAAGCAGCCAUCAUUUAAAGAAAGCGUAAUAGCUCACUGGUCGAGUCGGCCUGCGCGGAAGAUGUAACGGGGCUAAACCAUGCACCGAAGCUGCGGCAGCGACACUAUGUGUUGUUGGGUAGGGGAGCGUUCUGUAAGCCUGCGAAGGUGACCUGUGAGGGUUGCUGGAGGUAUCAGAAGUGCGAAUGCUGACAUAAGUAACGAUAAAGCGGGUGAAAAGCCCGCUCGCCGGAAGACCAAGGGUUCCUGUCCAACGUUAAUCGGGGCAGGGUGAGUCGACCCCUAAGGCGAGGCCGAAAGGCGUAGUCGAUGGGAAACAGGUUAAUAUUCCUGUACUUGGUGUUACUGCGAAGGGGGGACGGAGAAGGCUAUGUUAGCCGGGCGACGGUUGUCCCGGUUUAAGCAUGUAGGCUGGUUGUCCAGGCAAAUCCGGAUAAUCAAGGCUGAGGUGUGAUGACGAGGCACUACGGUGCUGAAGUAACAAAUGCCCUGCUUCCAGGAAAAGCCUCUAAGCAUCAGGUAACAUCAAAUCGUACCCCAAACCGACACAGGUGGUCAGGUAGAGAAUACCAAGGCGCUUGAGAGAACUCGGGUGAAGGAACUAGGCAAAAUGGUGCCGUAACUUCGGGAGAAGGCACGCUGGUGUGUAGGUGAAGUCCCUGCGGAUGGAGCUGAGACCAGUCGAAGAUACCAGCUGGCUGCAACUGUUUAUUAAAAACACAGCACUGUGCAAACACGAAAGUGGACGUAUACGGUGUGACGCCUGCCCGGUGCCGGAAGGUUAAUUGAUGGGGUUAUCCGUAAGGAGAAGCUCUUGAUCGAAGCCCCGGUAAACGGCGGCCGUAACUAUAACGGUCCUAAGGUAGCGAAAUUCCUUGUCGGGUAAGUUCCGACCUGCACGAAUGGCGUAAUGAUGGCCAGGCUGUCUCCACCCGAGACUCAGUGAAAUUGAACUCGCUGUGAAGAUGCAGUGUACCCGCGGCAAGACGGAAAGACCCCGUGAACCUUUACUAUAGCUUGACACUGAACAUUGAGCCUUGAUGUGUAGGAUAGGUGGGAGGCUUUGAAGCGUGGACGCCAGUCUGCGUGGAGCCAACCUUGAAAUACCACCCUUUAAUGUUUGAUGUUCUAACGUUGGCCCCUGACCGGGGUUGCGGACAGUGUCUGGUGGGUAGUUUGACUGGGGCGGUCUCCUCCCAAAGCGUAACGGAGGAGCACGAAGGUUAGCUAAUCCUGGUCGGACAUCAGGAGGUUAGUGCAAUGGCAUAAGCUAGCUUGACUGCGAGCGUGACGGCGCGAGCAGGUGCGAAAGCAGGUCAUAGUGAUCCGGUGGUUCUGAAUGGAAGGGCCAUCGCUCAACGGAUAAAAGGUACUCCGGGGAUAACAGGCUGAUACCGCCCAAGAGUUCAUAUCGACGGCGGUGUUUGGCACCUCGAUGUCGGCUCAUCACAUCCUGGGGCUGAAGUAGGUCCCAAGGGUAUGGCUGUUCGCCAUUUAAAGUGGUACGCGAGCUGGGUUUAGAACGUCGUGAGACAGUUCGGUCCCUAUCUGCCGUGGGCGCUGGAGAAUUGAGGGGGGCUGCUCCUAGUACGAGAGGACCGGAGUGGACGCAUCACUGGUGUUCGGGUUGUCAUGCCAAUGGCACUGCCCGGUAGCUAAAUGCGGAAGAGAUAAGUGCUGAAAGCAUCUAAGCACGAAACUUGCCCCGAGAUGAGUUCUCCCUGAGACUUUAAGUCUCCUGAAGGAACGUUGAAGACGACGACGUUGAUAGGCCGGGUGUGUAAGCGCAGCGAUGCGUUGAGCUAACCGGUACUAAUGAACCGUGAGGCUUAACCUUACAACGCCGAAG
rnacentral:rRNA from 1 species